UUCGCUGGGCUCGGACUUCGACGUCAUGGGCGGCUCUGCCUUGUGGAACAGCACAAACCCUGGAAAACGAGUGUACAAUUAAAACAGAACAGCUGAGAGAAAGAGGAAACAAGAGCUAAAGCCCGUUUGGCCUGGCAGGGGCUCUUGCUCCUAAGUGCGUUCGGCUUACAUGAUGAUCCAAUGUACGAAAAAAGCAAAUAUAACAAGAAACAAGCAAGUACGAUGUAGAAAAUACAA